rnacentral:rRNA from 1 species
UUUCCAGGUUCGUCGGAAAGUAAGAUUCCUGAAAGAGGAUCAGGUAGAUAGGUUUGGAGGGGAAGGGGAGCGAUACAUGGAGCGGACAAAUACUAAUCGAUCGAGGACUUAACCAAAA